UGGCUGCAGCAUUCAGGUGUGCAGGAGCGGUGGGGAAGCCACGAACGAGAGAGCUGCAGGAGCCCCUUAUCGUAGCCAAAUCAGAGACGGACGACGGAGUGAGAGAGUAGAUGCAAAUCGUGGAACUGGCCAGGUCCUUGAUUGAUGGCGAGCUUAAUGGAGCCCUGAACCUAAAGCAAAGCAACUGCUGAAGAAUCGAGUCGCACCUCUCCUGCCAGGCUGGUAGGGGGCUCUUGGUGGCCCACAAACUCUCCCCACUCAAAACCUUGAAUUGUCCGCCUUGCCCACAUACAAUCUUUUUUUCACAAACCCUCCCAUGCGCACUCUUCCUCCUGGACAAUCACAUUCAACCCAGACGUGGGUUACAUGAACUGUGGGAUUGGGUUGGUACAUUGGGGUCAAUUCCCAAGUGUUGAGAAUUUUGUGGACUCAUUUGCGCUUUGCAUUGAGAUUCGAAUUGUAUAUCAAUGUUUCUGAUUCAUGUCCUGAAGUUGCAUAGUUAAUGAAUUAUUUUGAAUAUUCAUUAUUGAAUGGCCAUUUAUGAGUUACUGUUUGUUAUUCACUGUAAAUAUUUGCACUGUUGGCUGUCUUAUAUGUUUAAAGAAAUAUUCAAUAUAUGGUACCUGCAAACACAAAAUCAGCUUCCUGUCUACUCUCUCCUUGAGCCGAAUUUAGCCUUCUGAUUACUAGCCUAACGAACCUAACUAUUUCUGGUGUUAGUAAACCAGUUCUUUACUACUUACCUACUACACAGGUGUUACACUUGUAUCAGCAGUAUGGUUUCUCUCACUUGCAAAGUGAAGAAUAAUGUUUUAGUUCAAGGGGUGUAAAUGAUUUAGCACAAUGCUGACAGCUGUUUGGUUCCUCCAGAGUGAACACAUUAAUAACAAGAAAAGCACUCAGAGAGUGCAGUACUCCACCAAAGCUGCUCAGUCUUUCUAUCACUUCCGAUGGAUGAAAUCUUUAAUGAAAAAACUGACCUUGCGCUGAGCACAGGCGUGUGUUAUGCAUGUGUACGUUAUGUACUGAUUCCAAACCACGUGACCUAAAUAUAUAGCAGGCAGUGGGAACUGAUGGGACUCAACAACACCCCCACAAUUUAAUCAGUUGUUUCUUGCAUCAUUCCCGAUGGACAAGUCCUGGUGGAUUUGUAAAAGGAUCGCAAUCAUGUGAUCGUCAACAGGCGGGUGACGUAGCGUUCACUUGUUGCAUAAUUACAGUAGCACAGUGCUGCUAUCUCUCAAUGGGAAAUCCUUAACAAAGCCGUGAAGCCAGACUAUAAGCCGCAUCAUUGCCAAAAUCUAAUGAGGUGGUCCGUGUGUCAUUUCUGACCUUCCUUUAAAAUUUCGUCCAAAUCCAUUAUUCUGUUUUUGAGUAAUGUGCACAGAUGGAUUCACGUACACUGAUCGUCACAUAACUCUGCCGCAUUCCUUGGCUGAGUAAUAAUUUCUCAUAGGAUUUUCAAGGCUUUAUUGAACUGGUCACAUCUGUACAGUCUCCCUCCCAAAUUAAGUCUUUGAUGAAGCUGUAGCCAGUAUGAUGCUUUCUAUGGUCUCUUACAGUGGAAAAGGUGUAUCGUCCCCCCUCAGUGAACGUUUAUCGAUCGUUGACUUCAGUGAUGUCUCUCUGACUUUCUCACAGUGGUCACAGAUGUAAGGCUUCUGACCAGUAUGACUCUGUUAGUGGAUUCUAUAGUCCCUUGCAGAUGAAAAGCUUUUCUACAUUCAUCACAGCAACAUGGUUUCUCUCCAAUGCAGACUGUCUGAUGACACUUCAGCUUAAAGGUUGCUGUUGAGACUUUCUUACACUGCUGAGAACAGUGAGAUAUCAUCCAGUGUGGUAUAUUAGCCUUCGCCCUGAGUCAGCUGGGAUAGGCUCCAGCCUUCCUGUGACCCUACAGAGGAUUAAGAUGUAUAGAUAAUAUGGAAGAUGCCAGCAUCAGAGGAGAGAAGAAAGUCAUUAGUAACUUUGAGGAGAUGUCAGUACUGUGGUUAGAGCAGAAUCCAGAGUGGAAAGAUCCAUACAGCUUGUUGGCAGAGAGACGGGCUUUGAGUUGUGAUGCAACAGCACCUUCCAGUAUUUCAGAUAAAAAGGUGAGGGUGAGAUUGGUCUGUAGUUAUUUGGGAUGUCAGGAUUCAGUUCAGGUUUUUCAAGAAUGGGGGUGACAGCAGCAAAUUUAGACAGAGUGGGAUGAAGCCAGAAGAUAGUGAGAAGUUUAUAGCCAUGAUGAGUGGGAAUAGUUUUGGAAAGUAGUCCUCAACAAACUAACCCUAACCCUGUUAUCAUAUUUAUUUGUCUGUGCUACUGUCUGUCAUCCUCUUUUCUCCUUUAUUUUGCCUCCAAAUGUAACCAGAUGCAAUUAAACUUAAACAAUGAAGGC
ensembl:lncRNA